rnacentral:lncRNA from 1 species
CGGGGAGCUGCAGGCACCAUGGGCUUGCCUUGGCAGUGUCUGCCAGCAACACAGCUCUGCACACUUGGGUUUUCAGGUCGGGUUGUGCCCACACACCACAAAACCCACGGAGCCCUGCAACCACGAGGCAUCGCUGCACACCACGCACUGAGGUGGACAGAGGCUGCAGAGACCUCUCUGAGUGCCUGGCAGGUCCCAAUGCUGGCAGGGCCUGCAGACACUCCAAGGGUCCAGGUGAGGCAGCUGCCAGGCAUCACUGCAGUGAAACUUUGGCACCAGGUAAAUGUACCAUCAGCCUGUACAGCUGGAAUGACCUUCGCUUAACCUUUCUGGCUGAAACUAUUCUCUUGACCACAGAAUAAUUAAGUGUAGAUAUCUG